CCUACGGGGGGCAGCAGUGGGGAAUAUUGGGCAAUGGGCGCAAGCCUGACCCAGCAACGCCGCGUGAAGGAAGAAGGCUUUCGGGUUGUAAACUUCUUUUCUCAGGGACGAAGAAAGUGACGGUACCUGAGGAAUAAGCCACGGCUAACUACGUGCCAGCAGCCGCGGUAAUACGUAGGUGGCAAGCGUUAUCCGGAUUUACUGGGUGUAAAGGGCGUGUAGGCGGGGAAGCAAGUCAGAUGUGAAAACCACGGGCUCAACCUGUGGCCUGCAUUUGAAACUGGUUUUCUUGAGUACUGGAGAGGCAGGCGGAAUUCCUGGUGUAGCGGUGAAAUGCGUAGAGAUUAGGAGGAACACCAGUGGCGAAGGCGGGCUGCUGGACAGCGACUGACGCUGAGGCGCGAAAGCGUGGGGAGCAAACAGGAUUAGAUACCCUGGUAGUC
rnacentral:rRNA from 1 species